AUUGAACGCUGGCGGCAGGCCUAACACAUGCAAGUAGAACGAGUGGCGGACGGGUGAGUAAUGUCUGGGACACUGCCUGAUGGAGGGGGAUAACUACUGGAAACGGUAGCUAAUACCGCAUACCAUCGGAUGUGCCCAGAUGGGAUUAUCUCGUAGGUGGGUUAACGGCUCACCUAGGCGCCGAGCCCUAGCUGGUCUGAGAGGCUUACCGGCCACACUUGAACUGCGACACGUUCCAGACUCCGACGGGAGGCAGCAGUUGGGAAUAUGGCACAAUGGGCGCAAGCCUGAGACAGCCAGGCCGCGUCUAUGAAGAAGGCCGUCGGGUUGUAAAGUACUGUCAGCGGGGAGGCGUUACCCGCAGAAGAAGCACCGGCGAACUCCGUGCCAGCAGCCGCGGUAAUAC
rnacentral:rRNA from 1 species